rnacentral:ncRNA from 1 species
GACGACCGGCCGGACGCGGUAGUUGUCCGGCCCUCAAGUGGAGGCUCCGAUCUCCCACCUGACCGCCCUCCGGGGCGGCGGGUCACCGGUCAGGCGGCCCCCACCGUUCCGUACGGACGGUGGAGUCGCCCGAAUGUGCGCCCCGCGGUCCACCGCGGCGGUGCUCCGGAUCGUUCGGAGUCCCGCCUGUGUACCGUCCGGGGCAUUUUUC